GAUGAACGCUGGCGGCGUGCCUAAUACAUGCAAGUCGAGCGAACAGACGAGGAGCUUGCUCCUCUGACGUUAGCGGCGGACGGGUGAGUAACACGUGGAUAACCUACCUAUAAGACUGGGAUAAUUUCGGGAAACCGGAGCUAAUACCGGAUAAUAUAUUGAACCGCAUGGUUCAAUAGUGAAAGACGGUUUUGCUGUCACUUAUAGAUGGAUCCGCGCUGCAUUAGCUAGUUGGUAAGGUAACGGCUUACUAAGGCAACGAUGCGUAGCCGACCUGAGAGAGUGAUCGGCCACACUUGAACUGAAACACGGUCCAGACUCCUACGGGAGGCAGCAGUAGCGAAUCUUCCGCAAUGGGCGAAAGCCUUACGGAGCAACGCCGAGUGAGUGAUGAAGGUCUUCGGAUCGUAAAACUCUGUUAUUAGGGAAGAACAAAUGUGUAAGUAACUAUGCACGUCUUGACGGUACCUAAUCAGAAAGCCACGGCUAACUACGUG
rnacentral:rRNA from 1 species